GAUGAACGCUGGCGGCGUGCCUAAUACAUGCAAGUCGAGCGAACAGACGAGGAGCUUGCUCCUCUGACGUUAGCGGCGGACGGGUGAGUAACACGUGGAUAACCUACCUAUAAGACUGGGAUAACUUCGGGAAACCGGAGCUAAUACCGGAUAAUAUAUUGAACCGCAUGGUUCAAUAGUGAAAGAGGGUUUUGCUGUCACUUAUAGAUGGAUCCGCGCCGCAUUAGCUUGUUGGUAAGGUAACGGCUUACCAAGGCAACGAUUCGUAGCCGACCUGAGAGGGUGAUCGGCCACACUGGAACUGAGACACGGUCCAGACUCCUACGGGAGGCAGCAGUAGGGAAUCUUCCGCUAUGGGCGAAAGCCUGACGGGGCAACGCCGCGUGAGUGAUGAAGGUCUUCGGAUCGUAAAACUCUGUUAUUAGGGAAGAACAAAUGUGUAAGUAACUAUGCACGUCUUGACGGUACCUAAUCAGAAAGCCACGGCUAACUACGUG
rnacentral:rRNA from 1 species